AGGGGCAAAAAAGAUUUCUAGUGAUUAAACUGAUUCAACAAUGACUUCUUGGAGUGGCAUAAACAAAAAGCUGAGCAAAAUCAUAGGAGUAGUAGAGUCUAUGAUAGAAGAAGCAAAAGAGCUGAUGGAGGAAGCACAAAGACUGGGAGGCACUGCUCCAGAUUUGGGAAUGUUUUCUGAUUUCGUAAGGUCCAUGGACUCUAUUGCGGACGUUGUCACAAUUGGAAAAUCCUAAGGAUUCUCAACAAUCGGCGAUCAGAGGGAGGGAACAUUGGUUUAUGAACUAUCAAGAGUAUCGACCAAGAAAUUAGGAACUUUAUGGUAGUUUCCAGAAGAAUUAUCAAUCAUUAACUGACAGGUCAUAGAUUAAAUUUAAUACGCGUAGUUCAAUUGUUAAAUCAGACUAUCA